AGGAUUAAGGAUUAAGGAUUCGUACUUUGUUUUAUCCAUGUCCAAAAAUACCUCAAAAAUAAUCAUAGUGGUGUAAAAUUCAAGAAUGAUCAAAAUAUGGAUACAAUCAAAGCUAGUAUCCACAAUAGAUAUUUUAGACGAAAAGGGAAAAUUUUCAUUUUUUGAUGAAUAGUGUCGUAUUCGUGUAUAGUGUCGUAUACGUGAAUAGUGCCGUAUACGUGAAUAGUAACUCCGACACCAAAAGUUUCAAAUUUGAUAAAAAUUUCAGAUCAAUAUUUCAG
rnacentral:lncRNA from 1 species